UUUAGUGUACAUUACUGUCUCGUGUCCUUCGCUCGGGACAAGUGCAUCCGUUGUGCCUUGCGCACAGGCAUCGCGAUGGCUGCCAUCUUAGGGGUCCUCGCUAGGUGGGACCCGAUUGUUCAAGAUGCAUUUUAAAAGCUCUGUCCCGAGACGCUCUCGAGUUACGUUGAGACUGAUGAUUCCACAAUCUUCCACAAUGGACUUCACAUAGGAUGAACUGUUUCCAGUUUCAGCAAAAAAGCAAGAAUUUAUGAAUGGAUGACUGCACCUUAGCACUCUUCACUGCCACUGCAUGCCUCACCUGGGCCACAGAGAAAACAAUGUUGCUGCCUGUACAUGGCACAAUUAACCUCUAACCUUACAGCUGAAUCAAUGCAGUAACACUGUUAACUACCAAUGAUAUUGUACCAAAUGUUCAGACUGAAUAUACAGAGGAGAACUGG